rnacentral:tRNA from 1 species
GGCGGCCUGGGAGAUCGCGGGCCCGCAGGCCGCGCUUCGGGCGCGGCAGGAGUCCGCGGUCGCCGCGCUGGGCCGCUAC